GCCAGAGUGGCAUAGUGGUUUGAGCACUGGACAGCACACUCUGGAGACCAGGAUUCGAUUCCCAGCUCGGACA